rnacentral:sRNA from 1 species
CCAGGCUGAAGUGCAGUGGCAUGAACACAGCUCACUGCAGCCUCAACCUCCCAGGCUCAAGUGAUCUUCCCAUCUCAGCCUCCUGAGUAGCUGGGACUACAGAUAACAAUGAAGAUGGUGCCAAAACUGCUUUCUCCUUUGGUUAAAGAUUGGGCUCCCAAAGCAUUUAUAAUUUCCUUUAAGUUGGAGACUGACCCCGCCAUUGUAAUUAAUCGAGCUCGGAAGGCUUUGGAAAUUUAUCAGCAUCAAGUGGUGGUGGCUAAUAUCCUUGAGUCACGACAGUCCUUUGUGUUUAUUGUAACCAAAGACUCGGAAACCAAGUUAUUGCUAUCAGAGGAAGAAAUAGAAAAAGGCAUAGAGAUAGAAGAGAAGAUAGUGGAUAAUCUUCAGUCUCGACACACAGCUUUUAUAGGUGACAAAAACUGAAGUAAAAAGCCCUUAUAGGAUCAAAAAUUGUUCAGGGCUCUUAGAGAUGGUGAAAACUACAAAAAAACCAUGGCUUUCAUAUGGACAGAGAAAAUGAAAGAAAGGGAAAAGGCAGUGGUGUGCAGGCAAAUAUGGUUUGGCAUUUGUCUUUUAAUGACACCUGAUAUGUCAUUUUGAUUUUGAAAUUGAACACUAGAACUGUUAAUCACCUUUAAAAAGAAGAGCUUAUUGGGAAUUAUAUAUUCCUUAAAAUAUACAUGGGGGCCUGAAUGUCAGCCAUCUUUAUACUAUAAAAAGAGGAUUAUGGAUGCAUGAAUGGUCAUGCUUUGGAGAUCAAAUAUUGGUUGA